GAAUUCGUCGACAACAGAGUUUGAUCCUGGCUCAGAUUGAACGCUGGCGGCAGGCCUAACACAUGCAAGUCGAGCGGAUGAUGGGAGCUUGCUCCCGGAUUCAGCGGCGGACGGGUGAGUAAUGCCUAGGAAUCUGCCUGGUAGUGGGGGACAACGUUUCGAAAGGAACGCUAAUACCGCAUACGUCCUACGGGAGAAAGCAGGGGACCUUCGGGCCUUGCGCUAUCAGAUGAGCCUAGGUCGGAUUAGCUAGUUGGUGGGGUAAAGGCCUACCAAGGCGACGAUCCGUAACUGGUCUGAGAGGAUGAUCAGUCACACUGGAACUGAGACACGGUCCAGACUCCUACGGGAGGCAGCAGUGGGGAAUAUUGGACAAUGGGCGAAAGCCUGAUCCAGCCAUGCCGCGUGUGUGAAGAAGGUCUUCGGAUUGUAAAGCACUUUAAGUUGGGAGGAAGGGCAGUAAGUUAAUACCUUGCUGUNUUGACGUUACCAACAGAAUAAGCACCGGCUAACUUCGUGCCAGCAGCCGCGGUAAUACGA
rnacentral:rRNA from 1 species